rnacentral:misc_RNA from 1 species
GGCACUUUCUAUACAUAUCUGCAAACUCUAUCGGCAGGUACAUAAUGGAGGAGCAGCCUCGCUAUAGUUUAGUAUUUGAAGCAAAUUACAAGGGCAACGAAAGAAAAGAGAAUUACAUUGGCUCCGGCCAAAAAAUGAAAAGAAAUGCAGAAAAGAAUGUUGUCGUGAUCGUCAUAUGUAUUUGAGCCUCCUCCAUUAUAUCUUCAGUUCUGAAGGGGAUGAGGACCAGCAUUCUUGACAAGCCUUCGAGAUUCCCUGUGACAAUGGAGCUAAGGGCCAAGGCAGCGCCGCCGGGAGGGUGGUGGAUGCCGAUCAGACGUCGAGGGUUACUGCGGGCAUCUCGAACUCGGAGGUGAUCUCCUCGAUCUGCUUCCGGACGCUCAUGUCGAUGAGGCUGGACCCGUCGCGGCCGUACUGGAUGGUGAAGCCGGCGAUGAGCUCCGGGUCGAUGCGGGUCUUGACCCGGACGUUCUUCGCGCCGGUGAGAUUCUGCACCUGCUGCGCGAUCUGCGCGAGGUCCUGCGACUCGAGCUGCACGACGGAGG